UUGGCCGAAUAUUUUAUAUUU
ensembl:piRNA 21ur-5551 ncRNA